GUGCCAGCAGCCGCGGUAAAACGUAGGACGCGAGCGUUAUCCGGAGUUACUGGGCGUAAAGGGCGGGUAGGCGGGCUGCUAAGAUGGGUGUGAAAUCUCCCGGCUCAACCGGGCGGGGCCACUCGUGACUGGCAGUCUGGAGGGUGACAGAGGCGCGUGGAAUUCCGGGUGGAGUGGUGAAAUGCGUAGAGAUCCGGAGGAACACCAGAGGCGAAAGCGGCGCGCUGGGUCACGACUGACGCUGAACCGCGAAAGCCAGGGGAGCGAACGGGAUUAGAAACCCCUGUAGUCC
rnacentral:rRNA from 1 species